CUGAAGUAUGGGUUAUGAGAGAACUGGAAAUGCUCUGUAGGACUUAAAUUUCACGACAGACUACAGGUGCAUCGUCCCUUUUUAGCUUUCAAUUGUCUGGCAUAAGAAUGAAGAAAUCUGAUUCAGACCAGCUGAAGCAAAGCAUUUUCUGCAGCCUUGUAAACACACAGGAAUGACUUUAGAGAAGCUUUACCAGUACUGGUCUCAGCACUGAGUAAGGUGCUCCAUGAAGAAAUUCCAUUGAGACAUCCUCAUUUUCAUCCAGCCACUGAAUGACAAAUGGUUCAAACCACCUGAAAAUUAAAAGCAAUUUUGUAAAGUAGAUAGAUUUCAUAAAGAUCCCAAGAGGAGAGACGACAUACUACCCAGCAGUUUGGAACCUCGUGUUUUCAUGUCUAUUCUUAUUGCUAAAAAAUUCUAAUAACCCUGGGACAAUUUUUGUCACCAAAAUUCUGUAGGUACCAAAAGGCUUUUCAGGCUACAGCUUCACAAUACUCUUCCUGGUAUACCCUGGUGAUGUAAAUUAGCAGUAGCCAAUUCUCUACCAGUGAAGCAUGGCAGGUAUGUAUCUUCUAUCAAUACUGGCUCUUUGGUAACAUUUAUUUUUUAUUUGAAUAUGAAAUAACUUGUAUAUAACUUUGUUUUAGUAAAAAUCAUCUGUGUUUUAUUUUUCUUUAGUUUAUGUUAGAAAAAUUUAAAGUAAUAACAGGCCUCAAACCAUCUCAGCAAACCAGCAGACUGGCAGAAGAUUAAGGAUAGCUCAUAUAAAAGGACAGGACUGAAUAUAUUUAUUGCAGGGAGACAGGUGAAAAGAAAACCAGCAGCUGAGUAUAAACCUGAUCCAGUAAGAAUUACUUCAGUAGUAUAUCCCAUUAGCAUUGUAUCUUUAUCCAAAUUUGACUGUAAAACAAAUGCAGGGACCUGUAACUAAUAGUUCUGCUGUUCCCACAUCUCAUACCUUCCUCAGACAUUUCCUGACCAAAGCAUUUUGUCCUCUCUGAAGAUGUGCAGUUACAACAACUGUAGAAAUCCAUGAAAUAGCUAAUUGCACAUUUAACACCUGGACUAUUUCACUUGAUUGAAUGAAGAAUUAAAGAGAAGGAAGCAUAAAAAGUAGUUGCCAGUGCUACACACCUUGAGAUCUUGCACAAACCCAAGCACAAAUAUUUGACCAAAAUAAACCUUGCACGAAGCCCAGACUCAUGGAAGCCUUCCCGAAACACCACUUACAGAGAGUAUUCAGGCACUGCAUCCUUGAAAGCAGAGAGUUCUCGCACAUAUUCAUUAUAAAACCAUUUCACUUUGAAGUGCAAAUUCAUAUAAUCUGUGCUUUUGCAUAAUCGCUGCUUUUCAUGUUCUGUAAUAGAAGGAGUGGAAAUAAAAGCACUUAAUAGUGUUCUAACAGUAAAUAACUUUCUUGUGCCUCAGUGCACUGGUGACACAAUAAUACAGGACUUGCAUUUUAAAGCAUAAUUGGUUUGAUUUUUCUAGAGGUAGUAGUACCCACAGUUUCAAUUUUCAGGAUCUGAGUACCCUUAGGAAAAACAAAAACCAAAGACCAAACCACAAAUUAGGCUUCUCAUGUCUCUUCACUGCAGUGAGAAAAAAACACAAAUUUGCUGACUUCCCAUUCUUUAGAUUCUUCUUUGGCUGUUAGAAAAUGAUUAAGAAGCUUUGGAGUGUCAAGCUAGAGAAGACAACCAUAGUUGUGUAGUAGCCAGAGGAAGUAACAGCUAUAAAUGCCAGUCCCACAUGAAUCUGUGAAACCUACAUUCAUGAGAGCUAAGAAAAAGAAAGACGAGCCAACUCCACAGCUCUACAGUCCUCUGACUUAGGAAAGAUGGUUAAAUAAAGUGUUUUUGAAAUUUUUCAAAUGGACUUCACCUUCUCAGUGUCCUCCUGUUUGCCACAUACUGAAUAUGCAGAUGGCGGUGGGUGGCAGGAGUCAUAGAGCCACCUGUAAUCACUGUCUGCAUUUUUAAAGUCUGAUUUCAUUUGUUUGGAGCAAAUGUCCAUCUUUCUUCCAGGAUUUCAAUCCUUGUUUUAGCUUUUACACUAGGCUCUGCAUUGUUCACUCAGCCACUGCAGGCCUGGACAGGCUCCAUUCCUUCUCUCCAUUAGCUAACAGGCACUUUAUCCUUGCUCAAAUCUUUCAUUUCCUUCUCACACAGCAUGAAACCAGGGAUCCACAAGUUUUGGGCAGAAUAAUCAUACCUUUGCUUACUGCUCACAGCUUCCUAAAAUCUCCACAGAUGUCAUCUGUUUGAGGUGUCACGUCACUCGCACAUUCUUCCCUAUGUGAAAGGGUAAUUUCUUUUCCCAGCUCCCUUAAAAAAUGACCUAAUACAGGUGCUCAGCCUGAAUGAUGUUCUUGUGUAAAUAGCAUGUAUUAAGAACUUACCACUUUCAAACCUCCUUUUUGCUUCUUACUUCUGGUUGCUCUGCAACACAGCAUUACACAAAUCUCCUGCAUUUGGAUGUGAACCUAAUUUUCUUUAACAGUAGGAGCAUCCCAUCCUCUGUCAUACACUUGAAUGUACCACUGGAUUCUCUGUCAGUGAAAAUGCACUAUGAACUACACAUCCUGUGUUUUUCAGAUCUAGCCAGGUACAUCAGAAGGAAAUGUUUAGUUUUAUUAUUAUGCCAAAUCAGCACUCCAGUAGUACACCACGCUAUCCAACAAGUGUUUCAGAAGCGUGCUAUUAUGCAGUGAGUUACUAGGUUUUGUGCAAAUCAGCUUAUGAAGAGCCCCUGUGGGCUUUUAUUGCCUUUUUAGCAUUGUAGUAGCAUUUUCACCUUCACUGCCUUUCCAUCACACUCAAGAAAAAAAUCACUAAAUAAGUUUCUGUCUAAAUAGUGCAUUUAUUCAUUCUUCAUGCUACUUGAAAGUACUACAAAUUCUCCCCAGCAACGUAUCAUUGUUACUAGCAUUAAACAGAACCAGAGAGAGAAAGAUGUUGCCUUCUCUCACAGUUCUGAGGAAUCUCUUUUUUUAGGCAGCAGUUUUUUCACAAACUAUUAUAGAAAGCUAAAUGACAAAAAAUUUGCUCUAAAAAAGGUAUUCUUACAAGGUAGACCAGUCUUUCACUGAGAACAAUUAUGUUAUUGCUAUCAAAUUCACUGCACAUCUGCUGCUUAAGUCUUUGUUAAAAAUCUGUCUUAUAUUGCAUCCCAAAAGAGUGGAAUUUCUGAAAUGAAUGCACAUUUUUUCAUUCAAGCAUUGCAUAAACGGGUUAUUAGAUUACAAAAUGUAACUUGAGAAUGUUUGCUAUAGUAUGACAAACCAAGGAAAUGCUUAUUUCAAUUUUAGAAAUGAGCUACUGACACUAAUUGGCAAACUUGUCCAGGAGGGUACAACUUACACAUACCAUUCACUGGUAUUUUCUUCUGGAAGUUAAGAUUUAUAACACAUUAAAAAUGAGCACAAAAGUAAUUCAUGAAUAAUUGAACUUUUUUCUCCAGGCUGUUAUGCCUUGUAGAGAAUAUUUAAGGAGUCUCCCAGGAUAUUAUUUCUAGUUACAUAUAAGUGAAAAAUACAUCCACAAGUCCUGAUAUUAAUGUAUGAGAACAUCAGCAAACACUUCAGAUGACCUACAAAAUAAUUUAGUAUCCAUGCAUUUUACCUCUUCAGUUCAUAUAAACCAAAGAACAGAGCAAACAGGUGCCCAUAUGAGUCAGCCCAUGACAAUUUUAACUGGAUAAUAGAUGGGUUUAUCCAUGGUAACCACAGAUUUGGUUACAAAGUGGACCAACAUCACUGUAGGUGUUCUGAAUUUAUAUUAGGACCAAUAGUUCGCUUCCUUAGUUUCUGAAAAACUUGCACAAGCUAAUGUACAUGUGAGCCAGCACAGGAUCCAUGGAUGCAUUUUGGAGAUCUGUGUCUAUUUCCCUGGAGGAAAAGCUAGUGCCAUGUUUCCCUGUACAGACAUAUCCAUUUUGGGCUUUCUGGAAGACAGAUGUAGUAGCUGCACAAUACAACUCUUUUUUUAAAAAGUCCACUCUUGCUUUGCAAAAUUACUAUACUACUGAGUCAGUCUGGAACUAAACCUGUCAACUGUGUGCAAGUGUGCUCUCAGGAGAGAUGAUGACAGAAAUACCUGAACAUUCUCAUAACUGAUUCUAGGUAAGGAAAUCUCCAGUAUAGCAAACCUAAUGCUGGUAAUGUUUUUUUAUUUUGUGCUGCUCUUUUCCUGACACAUUCCUUGUAGUGCAGCGUAUUUUAAUAAGCACCUACUCAUCUAAUAAGUUCCAUAAAGAGGUCGUGUUCAGUUCUCAUGCUGGCAUAUCACUGUGUCAUGCAUCAAUGAAAAAAAUACUGAUAAGAUUCUUGUAAACUGGAACAUCUGUAAACUUUAGUUGUGUGUAUGGGGCACUUCAGCUGCUUUUAGGAAUUGCAGUUCCAGUAAGUGUAAUUUUUUCCAUCGUUGAUGACACUUGGGGUGGGAGGGAGUAUCUCCUUAGGGGUGAUGCUGUAAUGAAUGCACUUCCACAGGCCUGCAGCAACAGACAUUGUUAACUGCAACCACAAUGCAAACUGUAUGGAGCUGUUCCAUCUCAACGGUACAAAUCACGAGAUGGGGACCCCCUUAAGAAGAACAUCCGUAAGCAACAGCACUGAGGAAUGAAAAAUAAAAUCUGCCCAGAUGUUAUUUGUAUAACCAAGAAAAGAGAGAGAUAGUUUUAAAAGCUAUUACAUGGAAUGCAUAAAUACAGGCAAAAGAACUUGUUGUGUGAUGAAACCAGCCACAGACCUGGUGACACUGUAUCUGGCACAUAACCUAAUUGCAGGCAGCAGUUCUUUUAGAGAAAAAUGUAUAAAGAAACAUAAUAGGAAGGACUAUAAUCCAAGGUACUUUCCUCCCAGGCCUUGACAAAACCAAUCAUGUUUGAUUUGGAAUCAUGUUUGAUUUCCUGCUCAUUUUUCCAGCAAUUUCUAGAGAAAGCUGAGAAGAUUUUCUUCAAGUAACAAAUAAAACUCAUAAUGAUGAUUUACUAAGCAGAAAUAUCUACAUGACACUAAAGACAGAAUGUCAUUUAACAAACUGGAACAGAAUCUUGUUCACUAUAGAAUCCUUUUUUCUUUUUAACCUAUGAGGUAAUAACAUCACUCUGAGUUUCCAUGUAAUUUUUGAUAUAAAUUAGUUGCUAAAAAAGGAUAAAUAUUCAGAUAAUCAAAUUGAUAUUUUGUUCAACUCUGAUUUUCCUGAUUUAGGUACAAAAUCUCAGAGCAAUUUUUUUUUCAACAGCAGUUUCCAGUAUUUUUUUGUAAAAACAUAUAGUUAAGCUGCUUGAAGUAUUCUAAUAAGAUGGUUUUAAAGUAUAUUUUGAAUCUUUAUGAACAAGAACUUCAAGGAAAUUAGUCUGUAAAAAAUGAACAAAUUGACUAGAUACACAUAAAUAUAUUUACCUAAAAAAGACUUGUCUAGUUUUCAGACUUUAUACAUAAUUUUUCAGGGAAUAAUAACUACUAAAAAGAAUAUUUAUGUGAAGCAAAUUAAUUACAUCACAACCAGCUGGUUUGACUGACAUAGAAACUAUUGCCCUACAGAUUUUUAAACAGAAAUGAUUGAGACUAAGCAUAUGGGAUUUGUGUUUGGAUUAACUGCAAAUUUUCCCAUCAAAACUCAGCUGUUAUUUUCAACCAUUGUGACAUAAUUCCAUAUUAUUUGCAAUAAUUACUUACCAAUCUUUCUAGAGACUACCAGCUGCAAUCUAUUUCCUUCAGAACUGCUGUUUCAGAAAACCUGCUAUUUCCAAACUUGCAGUCAUAUAACUGGGAAGGGUAAUUGGGAACACAAACUGAAUACAGCUAGUGGAAGAAAAGCUCCUGUAAGGAAUGGUAUGGAUGGGGCAUGAAUUGGUAUUCCUCCCUCUGAAUCUGUGGAAACAUUACACUGCAUAGAUGCGCCAGUGUUUUGGAUAAAAGUAGAAGUUUAUGUGCCUGAUCCCAGUGGAAUUUCCCCACAAUACAGGAGUGGUUGCUAUGCCACUGCCUCUUUUAAUGUGGGUACUAUGCUUGUAGUGCUCUGGAUCCCUGUAGUGCUGAAAGAAACGUGAAGCCUCUGAUUGUAUGAAUGUAACAUAGCGUACAGGCCACAAAUGAAGAAAAAAUUUGACUCAAAGUUCAAAACUGAUUUAGAAGAAAACAUUCCAUUCUACUAGAAUCUCAUCCCAGGAUUCUUGUACUCUGCUAAAGGCAAUGAAGUCACUGACAAUGAAGUUAUUAACUGAAAUAGAGAGUAGAACAGAACUAAUUGAUAAUUAUAUAUAAUUUACAUUGAUUUUUAUAAUGUGAAAUACUACUGACUUUUCUGAGAGGGCUCUUUGUGUCAAGAUAAAUAUAAUAAACCAAAACCUGAAAAACUUCUGUCACUACCUCAUUUUUGGAUUACACUUAUCUCUAAAUCACAUCUAACCCCCCUUCCAAUCCUCCUUUAAAAAAUAUGUUGUAUCUUUCACAACAGACCCUGGUUCUGAAGAAUAUGAUUGAAAUUUCAAAUACUUCAUACUGAUGUUUCAACAUCUAUUCAAAUUAAUAAAAAAAAAAAGUAAUAAAAGUAAUAAAAGAAGAAAGGUAAUGCUAAUAUAGGAAUCUAAUUUAUAUUGAUUAGGCUUUCAUAAACCUCUAAUAUGUAUAAAAAUUACAAAAUAAAGAGAGCCUAUAUGCCCCCCAUCCUUGGAAGUCCUCGAGUCAGGCUGGAUUGGGCCCUGAGCAAUCUGGUCUAGUGGGUGGCAUCCCUGUCCACAGCUUGGGGCUUGGAACUAGAUGGCCUAAGUUCCCUUCCAACUCAAACCAUUCCACGAUUUUAUGAUUUGAUAGUAUAAUUCUUGAAUCUGACAUGGAAAACAGAAUAAAGGUAACAAAGAGCACUUUGAUAGCAUUGGAACUUAACUAAUGAAUACUCAGCUUUGCAUCUUCAAUGUAAUCUUUGUGACAGAUUUCUUCCAUUUACUUAUUGCUUAAUUUUUUUAAAAAAAGUGCCUUUCCAUGAACCUGAUGCUCUGCUCUUUACCUCGUCACAAGUGUGCACAGUGAGCAUAAAACCUUAUCAAACAGGCAUCUUUGCAUUUUAUAAGCAAUUAGCAGAAUAAAGUACAAAGCAGGAAGAAUCCAGCAGGAAGAUAAAUACGAAGCUGCACUUAAAUAAUUACCUGUUUUGUACCUGGCUCUGCCUGCAAAAGCAAAACCACGGAGGUGUUCUCUAAUUCUUACCCAGCAAAUUGCACUUAAGCUUAUUAAAAGAUAAUGUGGAAACAAGCAGUUUUAAUGGAUUCAUCCUAUUCUCCUGGAGGCGAAGCAGUAUCAAAUAUUUAGUUUAGAACAAAUGCACUUGACCGUAAGAGGAAAUUUACCUCAGCAUCUAUAGGAGAAAAAGACACAAGUGAAUCUCCAUUAGUGGAACAGUCCUGAAAGUAAAAGACUGAGUCUUAAACCUAAGAAAACAGAGAUUAGGAGAAGAACAGCUACUGUGUGAGGAAAGCUUUAAAGGAGUGUCUUUAUGGGCAAGAUUAAAAAUAGCAUACAGGUUGCUUGUAAUUUUUAAUUUUCUUUAACUCAAAUAUUUUAUUCAAGUUGAUAAAGAAAUAUAUUUCAUUUCAAGAAAGCUGUUAUUAGUUACUGUUUCUCAAUGAAAGAAGUCCAAAAUGUAACUGGAUUCAUUGUGUGAUUAGCUCACAGAACGCAGGAAGAGGUGCAGCACCUACAUUCCACUGCUCCUGUGUGAGAAUUAUGCAGCUCCACUCUGACAGAGAUAGGGGGAAGAAACUCCUCAAGCAAACAAAAGGAUGAAAGUUUUCCCCAACCAGCAGAUGCAGAACUGCACUAAACAAUGCAGGUCCUUCAAGGGACUGUCUUGAGAGGAAAAAGUCACAUUUUUGCUCAGAGGUUUUAUUUGUUUGCGUUUUUAUUUGUUUUUCUUCCCCAGCCAUAAAAUUAGAUCAGACAAAAGAUAUAACUCCAGCUUUUGUAAAAAUGUGGAAUGAAAUAAAGUGGUAUCAUCUUACUGGUAAAGAACCGUAAUCAAGGACAAGAAGAAAGAAGCAGCAAAAUAUUCUUCUGGGUUGAGAUACCUAUAAACUCUGAAGGAAGUCUUGCCUGCCCCUGCUGCUACAGGUGAUAUACAGCCCAUCCAGCUGAACAGAACACUUCCCCCUUCACCUCACUGGUGUGUGGAAAGGACAGGGUCAUGUGAGCUGUAAAUAACCCAUAAUUAUUAAUCAAUACUCUCUGAAUUGCCAUGAGACCACAGAGGACUCUUAAUUCCUCAGGUGUCUGAAAAGAUAAGCAUGGAAUACAUUUGUUGAAAAGUGCCAAUGCAGAAAUACAACCGACUAAAAUAAAAAGGAUUCAUACUUUGAUAGUGAUGAAACCUUGCAUUCUUGUGGAUGCUGCCUUCUUGUCCUUUCCAAAACCUCAGUCUCACCUUCCUUCACCUCUGCAGCCUCCCUCUAAGCCAAGACUAUAUCUUAAGGGGAACUUUGUAAAUUGUAAAUUUGGAGUGAAAAUAGACUUGAAAUCUGCCACCAAAUGGCAUGACCUUUCUCUGGGCAGCAUAAGCCUUUUUGGUUCUUUUUCUAUGCUGUCUCUGUGCUUAGCAUCUACUCAUGGACCUGCCUCUUCUCUUUCAAAUCCCUUUAUUGGUUUCCGUCAUGGAAGAACUAUCUGUCAGAGAAACAGGAAAAUACUAUCUGCUUAAGCACGGAAGACAACAGCAAACUUGGAAAGCAAGCCUACACUAAAUGCAUAAAAUGGUGGAAUGACUCUCUCCUUUUCCUAUUUUGGUAAGGCUUUCAGAAUCUUAGCUUGGCAGCAUGGAGACUGUCUAUUGCUGUAUUUACACAGCAGCAAACUAAUUUAUGGCCUGAUUCUGGUCUUGACUUCUGGCCACUACCAGAAUUAGAUUAUCAUAAUAACAGCAAUUAGGAUGUUCUCUUUCUAACAGACUGGACAGCUUCAGACAUUUGAUCUGACCUAUUUGAAAGUUGGAGAUAUGAAAGAUAUGAAAAAAGACAUUUCUGAGGACAAAGACUAAAAAAAGAUACUUUGCAUGUCUAAUUUCAGCUUAUUACUCUCUCAAUCUUUUAACUUAUGCAUCUUCAUACUUGUAAAGGAAAAGACUUCCUACCAUAUGAAGUCAGUAAUAAAUCUUAAGCGCUGCUGGUGAAAUUUUCUCUCUGUCUUCAUUCAUUUGUGGGAUAAAUAUGGAAAAAUCGGGAGAACAGACAGUACAAAAAUACUACCAUCCUGUAAGAUCAGAUGAUUGUGUAAACCAAAUGCCAAACAACAAUCUAUAAUGUAUCAAGCAAAACACUGAUGCUUCAUGAAUAGCCUGCAAAGAAGAAAAAAAACCCAAAGAGACCAAAUCUAAUGAAGACAAUUCUCAAAGAGAAACAUGUGAUACCUUCUUCACGCAAAAUCUAUACAUUAAAAUAAUCCAUUAAGUCAGAAAAAAAAAUAUAACUGGUGUGAACUCAAUUUGUUAAAGUUUGCCUAAAACUUUUAACACUAUGCAAAGACUAAAUAUUUCAAUUAACUUAGAUUGGAAGAAAAUCUAGAAUGAAAUUAUGAACUCAAUACCAGAUUUUAGUACAAUUUUGUUUCCAAGGCAUGUCAGCUUGGCACAGUGUAGCCCUGAUCUUGGCAGCUGUGGAGACCUGAACUGUGCUUUGCGAUGUCCUUUCCUCCCUCAUCAAAAAUCCGAGCCGAUCCCCAAUGCCAAUUUGCUGCCUUGGUACUCACAGAGACCUGGAUUUGCUCUUCUCUAGCCAAAGGCCACUGCCAUGGCAGCUGCUGUUGUCUCUGACUUCUCCAUGUCACAGCAGCAGCCUCCUGGUUGGCAAGGACCAAAGGAGAAGAGAAGGCAGAGGGCGUGUGGUGCCUGCUGGUGCCCCUCACAGGGCUGCUGGGUUGUUCUGCAAGAGGAGGUGGGCAGAGGACACUGUUUGAGCAGCAGUUCUGCAGUGCACACAUGCCCCGAGCAGAUCCAGGAGGAAUUCAGCUGUACAGGGAGAGGAGAAAGCCUGAGCAGCCAUUCUGAACUGCGCUCAGGAAAAAGGGAAAAGGAAUGGAAAGUUGGAUGCUCCCGUAUUUGCUGUCUUCCUAUUUCCUGAAUUUAAACUGAUGGGUCUGGCUGGAUAUAUUUGUGAAUACAUAAAGUGGGUAAAACCAGAAAGAGGGCCUCGGAUGAGCUAAUCUAAUCUUUUUUAUCACAUGAGCAAUCCUUUUGCAAACAAUUCUGGACCAGUUCAUUGCUUCUUGAUUGGAUGCAGAAAGGAAUCAACUUUGUAACACAAAAGAUUCUGUUUCAGGAGAUUAAUACUAAAUUGGAGUAGGGAAAGAUUGCAAUCACAGCCCUGGACACUAGGUAUGAACAGAUGGUAGCCUACGUUAAUAACUUGGAAGGCAAGAGUAGCAUAGCAGAAUGCAAUGCAUUUUAAUGAACUCCAUUAAAACCAUGAGGACCAACUGCGAACAUAUUUAAGGGCUUGCUUUUAAUCUUACAGAAUUUAAAGAAAAAAAACUUAUUUCCAUCAAAAACUGAGUUAAACCCAGUUUGUAGAAUAUCUAUGGAAAUAAUUAAUAAUUCAAAUCCCAGCAAAGCUGGGUAGAGGAUCAGCACACUGAUCUAUAUUUUGUGACUA